CAACACUCAAUUCAAUAGCAGGAGAACCUGAGGGUCAAGAUCAUUCUACAUUUAUUUAUGCCAGAAUGCCGAGAAAAGCUGAGAAAAAUAUUGUCAAGCCUGUUGCCAUGUUAUUCAGACUCAUUUUCAAGGCUGAAAUCUGAACUUGGGGAAGGUGACAGGGGAAAAAAAUGAUCAUUUCAUGAUACUUGGUAUGUGUCAUAAUAUUUUGUGUGAAUCAGCAAAUCAGCGUUGCCACAUUAAAAAAGAAAAGACAGAAGUGAUUACAGCAUCAACUGCCUCAAUACUGUGAACAACAAUAGAUAGUGAUAUCGCAUCAUAUUUUCACUCAGCCCUUAUCUGUUGCAUCUGCUGAAAGAAUACAGAAACAGUGACAGAAACGCUGCAGGAUUUUGGUUCAGAGCAGCACCACGUGCUUCAGCACCAUCUUGUCUCAUUUACCUACACGGGAAUUCCAAGAAAGCUCAAGACGGCUGUUUGCAUCAGAACAGGAUAUUUGAUCAAAUGUGUCGUUUUUUGUGGCAGUGCGAUCUCUAUAAAAGCUGAGCAGGAAGCUAAGACCAGGUUUGGGGUUCUAAACCCGAUUUCAGAUACCUGAAUGAUCAACGCUGGUUAGUGGUCUGUGAGAAAAUGUGUGUGUGAUUGUAUGUCGGAGACGGCUCAGAGCUUCCCAGCCAUGGGCGUUACCCACUGUGGAUCUGUCUCUGUCACUCCACCUGCACAGCUCACCUCAGCAACCUUUGUUCUAAGCACCUGGCCCUGCCUGACUUUGCUGCUCCACCUUAAACGCUUGGGCCAGGCUCCUGUCCCUAUGUCUGGUCCACCUUAAAACGAGCAGAGGCUGCCCCUGUGCCAAAGGAGUGCAGCGUGAGGAGCAAACAAUAGAACUGCAGCUCAGAUACCAAAGCACUGCAGAGACAGGGGCAAAGCCCAUACUGACACAAACACACACACACACACACAGAAACUGAAAUCCCAGCAACAGAGGCUUGGGCAUUUUCAUUAGAAAAUCCAGAAAGCAAUCUAAGCAGAGUGUACCAAACAAAUCCUCUUACGACUGCGGCUACCUGGACAAGCAUCCAGACAAAGUGCCUCACCCCUGACUGACAACAUCAUCCCUGUGAA
ensembl:lncRNA